UACGGAGGGUGCAAGCAUUAAUCGGAUUUAUUGGGCGUAAAGGGCGCGUAGGCGGGGAUAUAGUCAGAUGUGAAAUCCUGGGGCUCAACCUCAGAACUGCAUUUGAAACUGUAUCUCUAGAGGGUAGGCGGAGAAAACGAAUUCCACAAGUAGCGGUGAAAUGCGUAGAUAUGUGGAAGAACACCGGUGGCGAAGGCGGUUUUCUAGCUUAUUCCUGACGCUGAUGCGCGAAAGCAAGGGGGAUCAAACAGG
rnacentral:rRNA from 1 species